rnacentral:rRNA from 1 species
AACGUAGGACGCAAGCGUUAUCCGGAGUUACUGGGCGUAAAGGGCGGGCAGGCGGUUCGUCAAGUGGGGUGUGAAAGCUCCCAGCUUAACUGGGAGAGGCCAUUCCAAACUGACGGACUGGAGGGCAGCAGAGGUAGGCGGAAUUCCGGGUGGAGUGGUGAAAUGCGUAGAGAGUCCGGAGGAACACCAGAGGCGAAGGCGGACC